UACAGAGGGGGCAAGCGUUAUUCGGAAUUAUUGGGCGUAAAGGGCGCGUAGGCGGCUUGGCAAGUGGAUGGUGAAAUCCCUCGGCUUAACCGAGGAACGGCCGUCCAAACUGCUUCGCUUGAGACCGGGAGAGGUGGAGUGGAAUUCCCAGUGUAGCGGUGAAAUGCGUAGAUAUUGGGAGGAACACCAGUGGCGAAGGCGGCUCACUGGACCGGUACUGACGCUGAAGCGCGAAAGCGUGGGGAGCAAAACGG
rnacentral:rRNA from 1 species